UACGAAGGGUGCAAGCGUUACUCGGAAUUACUGGGCGUAAAGCGUGCGUAGGUGGUUUGUUAAGUCUCAUGUGAAAGCCCUGGGCUCAACCUGGGAAUUGCAUUGGAUACUGGCAAGCUAGAGUGCGGUAGAGGAUGGCGGAAUUCCCGGUGUAGCAGUGAAAUGCGUAGAGAUCGGGAGGAACAUCUGUGGCGAAGGCGGCCAUCUGGGCCAGCACUGACACUGAGGCACGAAAGCGUGGGGAGCAAACAGG
rnacentral:rRNA from 1 species